rnacentral:lncRNA from 1 species
GCCACCCUCUACUUCCUUACUGGCAAAGCUUUCAUGAAUAUUAUUUAUUUGCCAUUUCAGUGCUGCUUUCUCAGAUAUAGGCAUACCUUGGAGAUAUUGCGGGCCCAGUUCCAGUUCAUCACAAUAAAGGGAAUAUCUCGGUAAAGUUGGCUAUGGCCCUGUCCAUGUCAUCUCACACCAGGACCCAGAUGGCAGAGCUGGAGCAGUGACAGGUGUCAUGAGAGGAGAAAGAGUCAUGGAGAACCACACACUGGCCUUUGAAGCUAUUUCCUGGAAGUGAUAUAUGUUGCUUCUGCUCACAUUUGAUUGGCCACAGAAGGUCACAUAGCCAAACCUGAUGCCAAGGAGUGAAAUAAUGUAAUCUUCCCAUAUUUUUGCAUUUUCUAUUGUUCUUUCUUUCUUCCUGAUGCUCCAAG